rnacentral:rRNA from 1 species
AACAGGCUUAACACAUGCAAGUCGAGGGGCAGCAUGAAACUAGCUGCUAAGUUUGAUGGCGACCGGCGCACGGGUGAGUAACACGUAUCCAACCUACCGUUUACUACGGGAUAGCCUUCUGAAAAGGAGAUUAAUACCGUAUGGUAUUCUAAAGUUUCAUGACAUUAGAAUUAAAGGUUUACCGGUAAUCGAUGGGGAUGCGUUCCAUUAGAUAGUAGGCGGGGUAACGGCCCACCUAGUCAGCGAUGGAUAGGGGUUCUGAGAGGAAGGUCCCCCACAUUGGAACUGAGACACGGUCCAAACUCCUACGGGAGGCAGCAGUGAGGAAUAUUGGUCAAUGGGCGAGAGCCUGAACCAGCCAAAAGGUAGCGUGAAGGAUGACUGCCCUAUGGGUUGUAAACUUCUUUUAAUAAAGGAAUAAAGUGGUCCACGUGUGGAUUUUUGUAUGUACUUUAUGAAUAAGGAUCGGCUAACUCCGUGCCAGCCGCCGC